AUUGAACGCUGGCGGCAUGCCUUACACAUGCAAGUCGAACGGCAGCACGGGUGCUUGCACCUGGUGGCGAGUGGCGAACGGGUGAGUAAUACAUCGGAACAUGUCCUGUAGUGGGGGAUAGCCCGGCGAAAGCCGGAUUAAUACCGCAUACGAUCUACGGAUGAAAGCGGGGGACCUUCGGUCCUCGCGCUAUAGGGUUGGCCGAUGGCUGAUUAGCUAGUUGGUGGGGUAAAGGCCUACCAAGGCGACGAUCAGUAGCUGGUCUGAGAGGACGACCAGCCACACUGGGACUGAGACACGGCCCAGACUCCUACGGGAGGCAGCAGUGGGGAAUUUUGGACAAUGGGCGAAAGCCUGAUCCAGCAAUGCCGCGUGUGUGAAGAAGGCCUUCGGGUUGUAAAGCACUUUUGUCCGGAAAGAAAUCCUUGGCCCUAAUACGGUCGGGGGAUGACGGUACCGGAAGAAUAAGCACCGGCUAACUACGUG
rnacentral:rRNA from 1 species